rnacentral:rRNA from 1 species
UGGGGAAUAUUGCACAAUGGGCGAAAGCCUGAUGCAGCAACGCCGCGUGAGUGAUGAAGGCCUUCGGGUUGUAAAGCUCUGUCUUCUGGGACGAUAAUGACGGUACCAGAGGAGGAAGCCACGGCUAACUACGUGCCAGCAGCCGCGGUAAUACGUAGGUGGCAAGCGUUGUCCGGAUUUACUGGGCGUAAAGGAUGCGUAGGCGGAUACUUAAGUCAGAUGUGAAAAUCCCGGGCUUAACUUGGGAACUGCAUUUGAAACUGGGUAUCUAGAGUGCGGGAGAGGAAAGUGGAAUUCCUAGUGUAGCGGUGAAAUGCGUAGAGAUUAGGAAGAACACCAGUGGCGAAGGCGACUUUCUGGACCGUAACUGACGCUGAGGCAUGAAAGCGUGGGGAGCAAACA